GUCUGGGUCCUGCGCAAUGUGAAACUGUGAACCUCGUCAGGUCCGGAAGGAAGCAGCGAUAAGCGG
rnacentral:SRP_RNA from 1 species